GACGAACGCUGGCGGCGUGCUUAACACAUGCAAGUCGAGCGAUGAAGUUCUUUCGGGAAUGGAUUAGCGGCGGACGGGUGAGUACCACGUGGGUAACCUGCCUCAUAGAGGGGAAUAGCCUUCCGAAAGGAAGAUUAAUACCGCAUAAGAUAGUAGUUUCGCCUGAAACAGCAAUUAAAGGAGAGAUCCGCUAUGAGAUGGACCCGCGUCGCAUUGGCUAGUUGGUGAGGUAACGGCUGACCAAGGCGACGAUGCGUAGCCGACCUGAGAGGGUGAUCGGCCACAUUGGGACAGGGACACGGCCCAGACUCCUACGGGAGGCAGCAGUGGGGAAUAUUGCACAAUGGGGGAAACCCUGAUGCAGCAACGCCGCGUGAGUGAUGACGGUCUUCGGAUUGUAAAACUCUGUCUUCAGGGACGAUAAUGACGGUACCUGAGGAGGAAGCCACGGCUAACUACGUGCCAGCCGCCGCAGUAA
rnacentral:rRNA from 1 species